rnacentral:rRNA from 1 species
UACGGAGGGUGCGAGCGUUAAUCGGAAUUACUGGGCGUAAAGCGCGCGCAGGCGGCCUUUUAAGUCUGACGGUGAAAUGCCGGGGCUCAACCCCGUGCCCGCCGGAGAUACUGGGAGGCUGGAGACGAGUAGAGGCAAGCGGAAUUCCGGGUGUAGCGGUGGAAUGCGUAGAGAUCCGGAAGAAUACCGGAGGCGAAGGCGGCUUGCUGGGCUCGGUCUGACGCUGAGGCGCGAAAGCGUGGGGAGCGAACAGG